GAUGAAGAACGUAGUGAAAUGCGAUACUUGGUGUGAAUUGCAGAAUCCCGUGAACCAUCGAGUCUUUGAACGCAAGUUGCGCCCGAAGCCGUCAGGCCGAGGGCACGCCUGCCUGGGCGUCACACGCCGUUGCCCCCCCGCGCCCCGCACCCAACGCUUUGGGAGCGACCGCGGGGCGGGCUGAUGAUGGCCUCCCGUGCGCUCCGCCGCGCGGUUGGCCCAAAUACCGAGUCCCCGGCGACGUGCGCCACGACGAUCGGUGGUUGAGAGACCUCUGUCGCAAGUCGUGCGCGCCCGUCGCGUCACGCGGGCUCGCAUAGCGCCUCGCGCCGCACCCGGUGCGGAGCUUUCAACGCGACCCCAGGUCAGGCGGGGUUACCCGCUGAAUUUAAGCAUAUCAAUAAGCGGAGGA
rnacentral:misc_RNA from 1 species